AAAACUGGUGAUUGGGGUGAAGUCGUAACAAGGUAGCCGUAUCGGAAGGUGCGGCUGGAUCACCUCCUUUCUAGGGAG
rnacentral:rRNA from 1 species